rnacentral:rRNA from 1 species
AAUGCAAGUCGAGCGGGGUGAGCGACCUUUGGUUGUUCACCUAGCGGCGAACGGUCGCGUAACACGUAGGCAACCUGCCCCGAAGACCGGGAUAACAGCGGGAAACUGCUGCUAAUACCGGAUGUGGUCCUGUUCUCGCCUGAGGGUGGGACGAAAACCUCGCAAGGGGGCUUCGGGAGGGGCCUGCGGCCUAUCAGCUAGAUGGUGGGGUAACGGCUCACCAUGGCGACGACGGGUAGCUGGUCUGAGAGGAUGGUCAGCCGGACUGGGACUGAGACACGGCCCAGACUCCUACGGGGGGCAGCAAUUAGGAAUCUUGUGCAAUGGGCGAAAGCCUGACACAGCGACGCCGCGUGGAGGAAGACGGCCUUCGGGUUGUAAACUCCUUUUCUGAGGGAAGAAGUGGUGACGGUACCUCAGGAAUAAGCCACGGCUAACUCCGUGCCAGCAGCCGCGGUAAUACGGAGGUGGCGAGCGUUGUCCGAAUUUACUGGGCGUAAAGCGCGCGUAGGCGGGGGUUCAAGUCUGCUGUGAAAGCCUGAGGCUCAACCUCAGCGGGUCGGUGGAUACUGGACCUCUUGAAGGCGUUAGGGGGGGAUGGAAUUACCGGUGUAGCGGUGAAAUGCGUAGAUAUCGGUAGGAACACCCGUGGCGAAGGCGGUCUCCUGGGACGUACUUGACGCUGAGGCGCGAAAGCUGGGGGAGCGAACGGGAUUAGAUACCCCGGUAGUCCCAGCCCUAAACGAUGGAUACUAGGUGUCGGGGGUAUCGACCCCCCCGGUGCCGUCGCUAACGCAGUAAGUAUCCCGCCUGGGGAGUACGGCCGCAAGGUUGAAACUCAAAUGAAUUGACGGGG